CGUAUGUAUAAUUGACAGCCAUCAGUUGUUAAUGCCCCAUAAUCAAAAUGGUUAAUUUAUUAAAAAUCAAAGUAGAAUUGAUUGUGGUGAAUUCAUUGCUAAGAAAGUUUGACAAUAGGAGUUUCUCAUCAGCUUUAAAAAGCUUGGUAAAAUGGCUUUUUGAGGAUCUUUUGAUGGAGUUCACUGUCAGAGGAUACGAUUGGGGUGACUCCAUUGCUCAGAAACUCAAAGAUUGAGCUGCC
rnacentral:lncRNA from 1 species